rnacentral:rRNA from 1 species
UACGUAGGGGGCUAGCGUUGUCCGGAUUUAUUGGGCGUAAAGAGCGUGUAGGCGGCCAGGUAGGUCUGGUGUGAAAACUCGAGGCUUAACCUCGAGAUGUCAUCGGAAACCAUCUGGCUAGAGUCCGGAAGAGGAGAGUGGAAUUCCUGGUGUAGCGGUGAAAUGCGCAGAUAUCAGGAAGAACAUCAAUGGCGAAAGCAGCUCUCUGGGACGGUACUGACGCUGAGACGCGAAAGCGUGGGGAGCGAACAGG